rnacentral:tRNA from 1 species
AAGAAUGUAGCAUAACAUAAUGCAUUUCACUUACACUGAAAAAAUACUCGUUAAGAGUCGUUUUUA